rnacentral:rRNA from 1 species
GUGUGUGAAGAAGGUCUUCGGAUUGUAAAGCACUUUAAGUUGGGAGGAAGGGUUGUAGAUUAAUACUCUGCAAUUUUGACGUUACCGACAGAAUAAGCACCGGCUAACUCUGUGCCAGCAGCCGCGGUAAUACAGAGGGUGCAAGCGUUAAUCGGAAUUACUGGGCGUAAAGCGCGCGUAGGUGGUUUGUUAAGUUGGAUGUGAAAGCCCCGGGCUCAACCUGGGAACUGCAUCCAAAACUGGCAAGCUAGAGUACGGUAGAGGGUGGUGGAAUUUCCUGUGUAGCGGUGAAAUGCGUAGAUAUAGGAAGGAACACCAGUGGCGAAGGCGACCACCUGGACUGAUACUGACACUGAGGUGCGAAAGCGUGGGGAGCAAACAGGAUUAGAUACCCUGGUAGUCCACGCCGUAAACGAUGUCAACUAGCCGUUGGAAUCCUUGAGAUUUUAGUGGCGCAGCUAACGCAUUAAGUUGACCGCCUGGGGAGUACGGCCGCAAGGUUAAAACUCAAAUGAAUUGA